UGGGGAAUUUUGCUCAAUGGGGGAAACCCUGAAGCAGCGAUGCCGCGUGGAGGACGAAGGUCUUCGGAUUGUAAACUCCUUUUGCCGGCUACAAAUGAUUUCGUGAAUAACGAAAUUUGAUCGGCCGGUGAAUCAGCCACGGCUAACUUCGUGCCAGCAGCCGCGGUAAGACGAAGGUGGCGAGCGUUACUCGGAAUUACUAGGCGUAAAGCGUGGGCAGGCGGCUCGGUAAGUCUCUUGUGAAAGCCUUGGGCUCAACCCAGGGAGGUCAAGGGAAACUGCCGGGCUUGGAUGUGGGAGAGGUCGCUGGAAUUCCUGGUGUAGCGGUGAAAUGCGUAGAUAUCAGGAGGAACACCGAUGGCGAAAGCAGGCGACUGGACCACUAUCGACGCUCAUCCACGAAAGCUGGGGGAUCAAACAGG
rnacentral:rRNA from 1 species